rnacentral:tRNA from 1 species
GCGCGUGGUUGACGGCGUCGGCCACGUCGGGCCCGGUCUGGACCCGGGCGACGACGGUCGGCGGGACGGGGUCGGGCAGUUCGUCGCCGUACGCACACC